AACGAACGCUGGCGGCAUGCCUAACACAUGCAAGUCGAACGAGACCUUCGGGUCUAGUGGCGCACGGGUGCGUAACGCAUGGGAACCUGCCUUUAGGUUCGGAAUAACUCAGAGAAAUUUGAGCUAAUACCGGAUGAUGUCUUCGGACCAAAGAUUUAUCGCCUUUAGAUGGGCCCGCGUUGGAUUAGCUAGUUGGUGGGGUAAAGGCCUACCAAGGCGACGAUCCAUAGCUGGUCUGAGAGGAUGAUCAGCCACACUGGGACUGAGACACGGCCCAGACUCCUACGGGAGGCAGCAGUGGGGAAUAUUGGACAAUGGGCGAAAGCCUGAUCCAGCAAUGCCGCGUGAGUGAUGAAGGCCUUAGGGUUGUAAAGCUCUUUUACCCGAGAUGAUAAUGACAGUAUCGGGAGAAUAAGCUCCGGCUAACUCCGU
rnacentral:rRNA from 1 species